AUGCGUUGUGUUGCACUACUACAGCUCGAUCCAGGAGGUGCUAGCUCAUGCUGGCUGGAACUAGGAUGCAAAAGGGUUGACGGAUCCAUGCCGCACAAGCACUGGUGCUCUACUUUCUUCUUACUUUGUGUUCUAAUUUGCUUUCUUCUUAUUUUCAGUUUGCGAGAUACAGAAAAAAGUUUAAAAUAUGUUGUGCCUGGAGUUCAUAUUAUUUGCUACCCCAGGAUCGCCAUGCUCAGUCCAACCACGUGGCUUCAGGGUGGCCGAGUUCGUCGCGACCAUCAGUUCAGAGACCUGCGUCACUGCUCGUGUCGCUACCAUGGCCACCUGCAUCACUGCGUGAUCAGUCAACAACCUCCUGCACAAGGAAAAGCAACAGGAGUAGAGGCGUCUGAGAUGCUCUUUUCUGGCGAGGUGGCUGAUUAUGGUUGUCAGUUUGUAAUACUUUGGCCGCAGUGUACUUAUGUAUCUUUUUCUGGCCGGAGCAUGACCUGA
rnacentral:rRNA from 1 species